rnacentral:rRNA from 1 species
AGAGUUUGAUUCUGGCUCAGAACGAACGCUGGCGGCGCGCCUAAUACAUGCAAGUCGAGCGAGAAGACGUAGCAAUACGUUUGUAAAGCGGCGAACGGGUGAGGAAUACAUGGGUAACCUACCCUCGAGUGGGGAAUAACUAGCCGAAAGGUUAGCUAAUACCGCAUACGACUCCUGGUCUGCGGAUCGGGAGGGAAAGCGAUACCGUGGGUAUCGCGCUCUUGGAUGGGCUCAUGUCCUAUCAGCUUGUUGGUGAGGUAAUGGCUCACCAAGGCUUCGACGGGUAGCUGGUCUGAGAGGACGAUCAGCCACACUGGCACUGCGACACGGGCCAGACUCCUACGGGAGGCAGCAGUAAGGAAUAUUGCGCAAUGGGCGACAGCCUGACGCAGCGACGCCGCGUGGGGGAUGAAGGUCUUCGGAUUGUAAACCCCUUUCGGCAGGGAAGAUGGAACGGGUAACCGUUCGGACGGUACCUGCAGAAGCAGCCACGGCUAACUUCGUGCCAGCAGCCGCGGUAAUACGAAGGUGGCAAGCGUUGUUCGGAUUUACUGGGCGUACGGGGAGCGUAGGCGGUUGGGUAAGCCCUCCGUGAAAUCUCCGGGCCUAACCCGGAAAGUGCGGAGGGGACUGCUCGGCUAGAGGAUGGGAGAGGAGCGCGGAAUUCCCGGUGUAGCGGUGAAAUGCGUAGAGAUCGGGAGGAAGGCCGGUGGCGAAGGCGGCGCUCUGGAACAUUUCUGACGCUGAGGCUCGAAAGCGUGGGGAGCAAACAGGAUUAGAUACCCUGGUAGUCCACGCCUUAAACGAUGGAUACUAAGUGUCGGCGGGUCACCGCCGGUGCCGCAGCUAACGCAUUAAGUAUCCCGCCUGGGAAGUACGGCCGCAAGGUUGAAACUCAAAUGAAUUGACGG